rnacentral:rRNA from 1 species
UCGUGUCGUGAGAUGUUUGGGUUAAGUCCCGCAACGAGCGCAACCCUCGCCUUUAGUUGCCAUCAUUAAGUUUGGCACUCUAGAGGGACUGCCGGUGAUAAGCCGGAGGAAGGUGGGGAUGACGUCAAGUCCUCAUGGCCCCUUAUGGGUUGGGCUACACACGUGCUACAAUGGCGGCGACAAUGGGCAGCGAAGGGGCGACCCGGUGCAAAUCCCAAAAAGCCGUCUCAGUUCGGAUUGCACUCUGCAACUCGAGUGCAUGAAGGUGGAAUCGCUAGUAAUCGCGUAACAGCAUGACGCGGUGAAUACGUUCCCGGGCCUUGUACACACCGCCCGUCACACCAUGGGAGUUGGUUUUACCCGAAGCUGGUGCGCUAACCGCAAGGAGGCAGCCAACCACGGUAAGGUCAGCGACUGGGGUGAAGUCGUAACAAGGUAGCCGUAGAGUCUGAGCCAUGAUCAAACUCUACGGCUACCUUGUUACGACUUACGGCUACCUUGUUACGACUUGACACCGCCAAGAACUCCCUGAGCCAUGAUCAAACUCUACGGCUACCUUGUUACGACUUAUCCUGAGCCAUGAUCAAACUCUACGGUUACCUUGUUACGACUUACGGUUACCUUGUUACGACUUACGGCUACCUUGUUACGACUUACGGUUACCUUGUUACGACUUACGGUUACCUUGUUACGACUUAUCCUGAGCCAUGAUCAAACUCUACGGUUACCUUGUUACGACUUACGGUUACCUUGUUACGACUUGCCCGCCGUGACCUGAGCCAUGAUCAAACUCUACGGCUACCUUGUACGACUUACGGCUACCUUGUUACGACUUACGACUACCUUGUUACGACUUACGGCUACCUUGUUACGACUUAUCCUGAGCCAUGAUCAAACUCUAAGGGCGAAUUCU